rnacentral:rRNA from 1 species
UGGGGAAUAUUGCACAAUGGGGGAAACCCUGAUGCAGCGACGCCGCGUGAACGAAGAAGGUAUUCGUAUCGUAAAGUUCUGUCCUAUGGGAAGAUAAUGACAGUACCAUAGAAGAAAGCUCCGGCUAAAUACGUGCCAGCAGCCGCGGUAAUACGUAUGGAGCGAGCGUUGUCCGGAAUUAGUGGGCGUAAAGGGUACGCAGGCGGUUUAAUAAGUCGAAUGUUAAAGAUCGGGGCUCAACCCCGCAAAGCAUUGGAAACUGAUAAACUUGAGUAGUGGAGAGGAAAGUGGAAUUCCUAGUGUAGUGGUGAAAUACGUAGAUAUUAGGAGGAAUACCAGUAGCGAAGGCGACUUUCUGGACACAAACUGACGCUGAGGUACGAAAGCGUGGGGAGCAAACAGG